AUCACUUUUUUUUUUUUUUACGGAGAUGGAGUCUCGCGCUGUCGACCAGGCUGGAGUGCAAUGGUGCGAUCUCGACUCACUGCAAUCUCCGUCUCUCGGGUUCAAGCAAUUCUCCUACCUCAGCCUCCCGAGUAGCUGGGACUACAGGCACAUGACACCAUGCCCAACUAAUUUUUUUUUUUUGUAUUUUAGUAGAAAUGAGGUUUCACCGUGUUGCCCACGCUGGUCUCCAGCUCCUGAGCUCAGGCAAU
rnacentral:lncRNA from 1 species